rnacentral:misc_RNA from 1 species
GAAAUGCGAUAAGUAAUGUGAAUUGCAGAAUUCAGUGAACCAUCGAAUCUUUGAACGCACAUUGCGCCCGGCAGUAUUCUGCCGGGCAUGCCUGUCCGAGCGUCAUUUCUGCCCUCGAGCGCGGUUCGGCCCCAGGGCCGUCCGCCGCCCGGCGUUGGGGCGCUACGGGGACGUCCCCGUAGGCCCCGAAAUGUAGUGGCGGUCCCGCCGCGGCGCCCCCUGCGUAGUAGACAUACAACCGCAUCGGGUCCCGGCGGAGGCUAGCCGUCAAACCUUUACUUCUGAUAGUUUGACCUCGGAUCAGGUAGGGUUACCCGCUGAACUUAA